GCCUUUGCUGGUUCCUCGGUUAUUUCUGCGGCAGGAGUAACCUCAGGUGUGGCACUUUCUAUGUUUGUUUCAAGUAGCGCGGUCUGUUCUGUGGUUGUUUCAUUUGUGGCAUCAUUUUUGGUGUCUGUUUCAAGUAGUGCUGCACUUUCUGCGCUCGUCUCAAAUAGUGCAUCGUUUUCCAUGCUUGCGUCAAGUGAUGUAGCACUUUCUGUGCUUGUCUGCAACAGCGAGUUUCCAUUUUCAGUUGCUACUGUUUCUGGGUUGGGGUCCAUUUUAUCGGCGUCUUUUUCAGUUGCCUCCUUUUCAGCCACUUUUUCAUCUUCAGGGGACACCUCUGCGGUUUCAGGAGUCACCAGCUCAUCGGUUUGCUUCGGAUCUUCCAUUUUCCAGCCGCGGUACACGAAAUAACAUCAAAAUUAUCCCAAUAUGCACCUAUAACAUUGUAUCUAGAGUUCACGUUAUGCAGGUCACUUUUGAUGUCACUAUCUUUCGGCUGGCUUCACUUCACAGGGAAAAUCUGAACUCAUUAUCAAAAUUGCACAUGGGGCUCACAGUGUUGAGGAUGCUUUUGGGGCACUGUUGCUCACAAAUACGAAAAUUUCGUAUUUAUAUGGUAAAAUAGCCAGACCGAAAUCGAAACGUGAACGCUAGCUCUACCUUUACCGAAGAUGGCGCUCCCGUCGAGGAAAAAUGGCGUGGAUGCUAAUUUGAAGGCGGGAACUUUGAAUAGAGAAUUUAAAUCAGCCGCUUUAUAGCGGCUGACAGUAUAUAUACAUCUCUGGCUUAGAGCAGCACAUACUAAAAUAGAAAAACCUAUUUUCUUAUUUGUUUAUAUGUUUGGUGUGGUUGUUUUCUCAGUGCAAAUUAUCUUGUCUUCUUAUCAGCCAUUUUUCGAAAAUUGCAAUGUUGCAAAUUUUUGUUGGCGAAAGUCAAAUAUCGUCUUCAAUUUGACAUUUAAUAUUUUGUGAAUUACAGCUAUUUAUUUCAUGAGUGCAUAAAUAAGGGCUUUAUUGGACGAGUAUUGUCAACUGAAUAAGACUGACUGGUAUAAAUGGCACGAUUACGCAUGUAUUCACUAUGUGGUGCAUAUUCACAUACAGGGGAUUUAUGGGCUAUGGUGCCAGAAGAGAGAGAUUAGAUGGGUGAUAGAUUUAUUAUUAGUCUACUAAUCUCUGAUGACGCAAAUAUGACCAUAGAUUAACUAAGUAUGACCAGUAUAUUGUCGAACUGAAUCGACGUCGAUUUUUGGUCACUUUUUGACACGAUUAUCAAAACAACGUAUCUAAACUAGGUAAAUGGAACUAAUCACACAAUGAAGACGUGACACAGAACUCCAAUGCUGUCAUUCAAAUCACUUUUUCGUAUAAAUAAAUGAAGUUAAUUUA
rnacentral:lncRNA from 1 species